rnacentral:rRNA from 1 species
AGAAUCAACGCUGGCGGCGUGCCUAACACAUGCAAGUCGAACGAGAAAGUGGAGCAAUCCAUGAGUAAAGUGGCGACCGGGUGAGUAACACGUGACUAACCUACCUUCGAGUGGGGGAUAACAUCGGGAAACCGAUGCUAAUACCGCAUAACAUCGCAAGAUCAAAGCAGCAAUGCGCUGGAAGAGGGGGUCGCGGCUGAUUAGCUAGUUGGCGGGGUAACGGCCCACCAAGGCGAAGAUCGGUAGCCGGCCUGAGAGGGCGCACGGCCACACUGGAACUGAAACACGGUCCAGACUCCUACGGGAGGCAGCAGUGGGGAAUUUUGCGCAAUGGGGGAAACCCUGACGCAGCAACGCCGCGUGGAGGAUGAAGCCCCUUGGGGUGUAAACUCCUUUCGACCAAGACGAUAAUGACGGUACUGGUGGAAGAAGCACCGGCUAACUCUGUGCCAGCAGCCGC